CGGUAAAACGCGCUGGAGGACCGAACCCACGUAAGUUGAAAAUUGCGGGGAUGAGUUGUGGGUAGCGGUGAAAUUCCAAACGAACUUGGAGAUAGCUGGUUCUCUCCGAAAUAGCUUUAGGGCUAGCCUCGCAAAGAGGAUGCUGGAGGUAGAGCUCUGUUUGGACUAGGGGCCCGUCAAGGGUUACUGAAUUCAGAUAAACUGCGAAUUCCAGACAUUUAUGUGCGGGAGUCAGACUGCGAGUGAUAAGAUCCGUAGUCGAAAGGGAAACAGCCCAGAUCACCAGUUAAGGUCCCAAAAUUCAUGCUAAGUGGAAAAGGAUGUGGAGUUGCGCAGACAACUAGGACGUUGGCUCAGAAGCAGCCAUCAUUCAAAGAGUGCGUAAUAGCUCACUAGUCGAGUGACGCCGCGCCGAAAAUUUACCGGGGCUAAGCAUGAUACCGAAACUGUGGAUGUGCGUUUAUGCACGUGGUAGGAGAGCGUUCUAGCGGCGGUGAAGCAUGACCGAGAGGACAUGUGGAGCUUCUAGAAGUGAGAAUGCCGGUAUGAGUAACGAAAGACAGGUGAGAAUCCUGUCCGCCGCAAGACUAAGGUUUCCUGGGGCAGGCUCGUCCGCCCAGGGUAAGUCGGGACCUAAGGCGAGGCCGAGAGGCGUAGUCGAUGGACAACAGGUUGAAAUUCCUGUACUGCACCGAAUCGUUAUGAGCGAUGGAGGGACGCAGGAGGCUAGCAGCGCGUGGUGCUGGAUACCACGUUCAAGCGUCAAGUCUGAGAGUGAGUCAAAUGCUUGCUCUCAUAAGGACAAGGCGUGAUGAGGAGCGAAAUUAAAGUAGCGAAGGCUGCGACGUCACACUGCCGAGAAAAGCUUCUAGCCAGAGACGGUGCACCCGUACCGCAAACCGACACAGGUAGUCGAGGAGAGUAUCCUCAGGUGAGCGAGAGAACUCUCGUUAAGGAACUCGGCAAAAUGGCCCCGUAACUUCGGGAGAAGGGGCGCUGGUCGCAAGAUCAGCCGCAGUGAAAAGGCCCAAGCAACUGUUUAUCAAAAACACAGGCAUCUGCAAAAUCGUAAGAUGAAGUAUAGGUGCUGACACCUGCCCGGUGCUGGAAGGUUAAGAGGAGAGCUUAGCGCAAGCGAAGGUUUGAAUUGAAGCCCCAGUAAACGGCGGCCGUAACUAUAACGGUCCUAAGGUAGCGAAAUUCCUUGUCGGGUAAGUUCCGACCUGCACGAAAGGUGUAAUGAUUUGGGCACUGUCUCAACGAGAGACUCGGUGAAAUUAUAAUACCCGUGAAGAUGCGGGUUACCCGCGACAGGACGGAAAGACCCCAUGGAGCUUUACUGCAGUUUAAUAUUGGGUAUCUGUCAAGCAUGUACAGGAUAGGUAGGAGCCGGAGAAGAUAGGACGCCAGUCUUAUCUGAGGCGCUGUUGGGAUACUACCCUUGCUUGACGGAUGCUCUAACUCAGGUCUGUGAUCCAGGCCGAGGACAGUGUUUGACGGGCAGUUUGACUGGGGCGGUCGCCUCCUAAAGUGUAACGGAGGCGCCCAAAGGUUCCCUCAGAAUGGUUGGAAAUCAUUCGCAGAGUGUAAAGGUAAAAGGGAGCUUGACUGCGAGAGAGACAACUCGAGCAGGUACGAAAGUAGGGCUUAGUGAUCUGGUGGUACCGUAUGGAAGGGCCAUCACUCAACGGAUAAAAGCUACCCUGGGGAUAACAGGCUUAUCUCCCCCAAGAGUUCACAUCGACGGGGAGGUUUGGCACCUCGAUGUCGGCUCGUCGCAUCCUGGGGCUGAAGUCGGUCCCAAGGGUUGGGCUGUUCGCCCAUUAAAGCGGCACGCGAGCUGGGUUCAGAACGUCGUGAGACAGUUCGGUCCCUAUCCGUCGUGGGCGCAGGAAAUUUGAGAGGAGCUGUCCUUAGUACGAGAGGACCGGGAUGGACGCACCGCUGGUGUACCAGUUGUCUUGCCAAAGGCAUCGCUGGGUAGCUAUGUGCGGACGGGAUAAGCGCUGAAAGCAUCUAAGUGCGAAGCCCCCCUCAAGAUGAGAUUUCCCAUUUCUUCAAGAAAGUAAGACACCUCAGAGACGAUGAGGUAGAUAGGCCGGGAGUGGAAGAGCCGUGAGGCUUGGAGCGGACCGGUACUAAUCAGUCGAGGACUUGACCAAAA
rnacentral:rRNA from 1 species